CGACAGCCCCUAUAUAGUGGGGUGUCCAACGAUCUGUCCAUCGCCGUUUUGGUUUGGCUCCCGCUCUUGGUCUUGGAUAACAGCCAGCAGAAAAUGUCUCAGUACUCAGGAAAAAUCACUUUCUACGAAGGCAGAUGCUUCACAGGCAGGAAGCUGGACAUCUGCGGCAGCUGCAACAGCUUCCAGGACCAAGGUUUCCUCAAUCGAGUCAACUCCAUCUGCGUCCAGAGUGGAGCCUGGGUCUGCUUUGACCACCCCGACUUCCGAGGGCAGCAGUACAUCCUGGAGCACGGCGAGUAUCCCGAUUUCUACCGCUGGAACGGACGCAGCGACCACCUGGGCUCCUGCCGGCCCAUCGGGAUGCAUGGUGAGCAUUACAGGAUCGAAAUAUUCGAGGGGAGCCAUUUUAGGGGUCCCAGCAUGGAGCUGACAGAAGAUUGCUCCUUCCUCCAGGGACAAGGCUGGGACAAGACCUGCAUCAAUGCCCUCAAAGUGUACGGCGAUGGCGCGGUGGCAGCUAAGCAUGAGCUACAAGAACUCUGAGAGACCUUUUUAAGGUGUAUGAAACAAGAAGCCUAAAACCAUCUCCUUCCUGCCUGCCUUCCUGCUUGCCUUCCACACCUCUUUCAAAUCAUGCUGAAGCUCAGGGAGGUUGGAUGGACAGCUCCAGGUGAUUCAGGUCAGGGCUUUUGCUUUGCAAGUUACUUCACCACACCUUUUCCUCUGAUGGCAAAAUUGAGGCAGGAGCACCUCCCCUUUACAUUAAAUCCUUCCUCUGAAAGACAGGGCUGACAGCGAUGAUGAUACCCAGACUGAGGCUCAGCCCCACCCUCCUCCCCCUGCAGGUGCUCCUGAAGGCCUGAGCAGGAUAUCAGUUUUGCCUUUUCCUUGAUGUUUGGUGGCAGUUUGUAUUUUCUCAAUGGUGUUGGUCCUUUUUGUGUUCUUUUCUCUCAUUGUCAGACAAGUUGUUACCUGUCUGUCUCCCCUUUCCUCUGUCUGACAACUGUGUUUUCACUGCAAGCAUGCUGGGAGCUGGGGAAUGCCAUCACACCUUCCCAGAGCCAGGCACAGGGUGGCUGGAGGGAGGCACUGGGGCACAGGGAAGCCCCUGCAGAGGAGGGAACACAGAUACCUUGUUCUUCACCUGUCCUGGACUGGAUAUUGUGCAGCUCACAGACACCUGGUGUGAGAUGCUGGACCCUUUGUGUCCAUUUUUUUUCCCUAAGAAUAAGGAGAGGUUGUUGCCAUCCAAGUUCAAGAUAUCCUGACAGCAGCAAGUGUCCUGCUGGACUCUUUCUGAUCCAGCCAAGGUCUCUCCUCUUCCAAAAAUCCAGGCUUAUUGAUUAGGCAAUGACAGUUCAUUAAGGGCCAGAGCUACCCACUCCUGAUGGGAAGAAAUGGCUGGAGCCCACCAGGGACCCUGUCAGUGCUGAGCAUUCAAGUACCAACACUACAAAGCCAAGAGGGAGCCUGUGAGUGCUCUGGCAAGAGUUUUAGGGCCAAUUUACUGCUUGAGUCCCUGUAGCAGAGCCUGGAGCUUGAGAAAUUGGGAAACUGCCCAGAAACUUUCAAGCACUUGAAUUUUUCAGAUUGGUUUUCCCCUUCCCCUACAAAAUAUAUAAAGGGAACAAAGCUUGCUCUCCCUCACACAGGAGUCUGGAUGGUUUGUGUUGACAUUACAGGACUUCUCGAGAUCUAUGAAUAGUGAGAAAAAACUGGAAAAAAAUAAAGCACAGAGAGGAGUGUGGUGAGGAAACUCGUUGAGGUUUGUAGCAUUACAUUCAGAUCCCAGGAAGGACAUGCUUGGAAAGGUCUGUAAAGGCAAUUAAAAAGGACAAUGCAGAAGGACCUGCUGGAGGUCAGAGAGGCUGCAGGAGAGGAAGGAGGGAGGGAUGAGAUUCCUCUGCAGAGAGGUGGGAGCAGGGAAAGAAAGGGACCCUAUAGCACCACUUUCCUCCUUUGGAUGGACCUUCUAAACCCAGGUGCCUUCAGAGGUGCUGCAGGUGUAGGUGGUGCUGGGCAUAACCUGGCAAAGCUGUCCCAGGACUCAUCCUUGGCUGUUUGGUUAGCAGGGGAGAUGGGAUCAAUGGAGACAAAGGGAGUUUCAUCCACAGUCUUGCUCAGUGAUUUUCACCCUCAAUUCCCACAAUGCGACAUCUGUUGGAUACAGAAAUAUUUGUUUCCAUUUCAAAAUCCAUGGAUGGUGUCAUGUGCUGAUAAAAAGUUGCUGCCUGCGCUUUGUGGAGGUGGCCAUGCCCCCGGGAAGUGAUGAUGGAUCAUCUGGAAACAUGGGAAUGGAGACAAACAUCGGCCUUUGGCAUGGUGCAUGGUGGGUGCUGUACGAGGAGCCCAACUACCGCGGCCGCAUGUACGUGGUGGAGCGCGGCGAGUUCAGCAGCUUCAACGAGUGGCAGGCACGCAGUGCCAGCGUCCAG